UACGAGAGGCCCAAACGUUAUUCGGAAUCACUGGGCUUAAAGAGUUCGUAGGCGGCGCGGAAAGUGGGGUGUGAAAGCCCUCGGCUCAACCGAGGAAUUGCGCUCCAUACUCCCGUGCUAGAGGAGGCUGGAGGUAAGCAGAACUGAUGGUGGAGCGGUGAAAUGCGUUGAUAUCAUCAGGAAUACCGGAGGCGAAGGCGGCUCACUGGGACCUUUCUGACGCUGAGGAACGAAAGCUAGGGGAGCAAACGGG
rnacentral:rRNA from 1 species